AACGGUCUAUACCUGCGGUACCUGCGGAAGGAUCAUUACUGAGUGAGGGCCCUCUGGGUCCAACCUCCCACCCGUGUUUAACGAACCUUGUUGCUUCGGCGGGCCCGCCUCACGGCCGCCGGGGGGCAUCCGCCCCCGGGCCCGCGCCCGCCGAAGCCACCUGUGAACGCUGUCUGAAGUUGCAGUCUGAGAAAAUUAUUAAAUUAAUUAAAACUUUUAGCAACGGAUCUCUAGAUCGGA
rnacentral:misc_RNA from 1 species